UACGUAGGGUGCAAGCGUUAAUCGGAAUUACUGGGCAUAAAGCGUGCGCAGGCGGUUAUGUAAGACAGUUGUGAAAUCCCCGGGCUCAACCUGGGAACUGCAUCUGUGACUGUAUAGCUAGAGUACGGUAGAGGGGGAUGGAAUUCCGCGUGUAGCAGUGAAAUGCGUAGAUAUGCGGAGGAACACCGAUGGCGAAGGCAAUCCCCUGGACCUGUACUGACGCUCAUGCACGAAAGCGUGGGGAGCAAACGAGG
rnacentral:rRNA from 1 species